rnacentral:rRNA from 1 species
UACGUAGGGUGCAAGCGUUUUCCGGACUUAUUGGGCGUAAAGAGCUCGUAGGCGGUUCGUCGCGUCGGCUGUGAAAACCCGGAGCUCAACUCCGGGCCUGCAGUCGAUACGGGCGGACUAGAGUUCGGCAGGGGAGACUGGAAUUCCUGGUGUAGCGGUGAAAUGCGCAGAUAUCAGGAGGAACACCGGUGGCGAGGGCGGGUCUCUGGGCCGAUACUGACGCUGAGGGGCGAAAGCGUGGGGAGCGAACAGG